rnacentral:rRNA from 1 species
CCCUUAGAUGUUCUGGGCCGCACGCGCGCUACACUGAUUCAUGCAACAAGUUUUGUCCUUGGCUGACAGGCCUGGGUAAUCUUUGAACGUGAAUCGUGAUGGGGAUAGAUGAUUGCAAUUAUUCAUCUUCAACGAGGAAUUCCUAGUAAACGCAAGUCAUCAGCUUGCAUUGAUUACGUCCCUGCCCUUUGUACACACCGCCCGUCGCACCUACCGAUUGAAUGGUCCGGUGAAAUCUUCGGAUCUGAGAGAUGUCUGAUUAAUUUCGGACGCCUUUUGGAAAAGUUGUUUAAACCUUACCAUUUAGAGGAAGGUGAAGUCGUAACA